CUUUGCUCUUAUUUGAUGACCUACGGACCCCCAAGGAAUAGCAUAAGGGAAGAAAGAAACAAUGGUAUUAAAACCACAAGUAUGAAGACAGCUGGAUCUCACCCAAUUGAGAGAACUGAUGUGUAGGCUCCUUCAUGCCCAUACCUAAAUCAGUCUUUCCCUUCCCAAUGGACAGAGAUGCAAAUCAAUGGGUAAUGUGCAAAAGAAAAGUU
rnacentral:lncRNA from 1 species